GGCCAGUCUGAAUACAGUGGUGUUAAGUAUACACAGCCAGUUACGGAUGUCCUUGUUUCUUCUCCACCCCCACUGCUUCACUUUACUAGCCUUAA
ensembl:misc_RNA Y_RNA Y RNA